rnacentral:rRNA from 1 species
GCAGUCUGGUGCCAGCAGCCGCGGUAAUUCCAGCUCCAGUAGUGUAUAUCAAUGUUGUUGCGGUUAAAACGCUCGUAGUUGGAUUACAAAAGCUCGAUGGGGCCGCAGCUCAAGUGGUUGCAGCGUCGUGGGGUUUUUUUAUCGCGAGAGCCGCGUGUGGGAUUAAUUUCUUGUACGCGGUCACUUGCGGAGUGUGCCUUGAAUAAAGCACAGUGCUCAAAGCAGGCGUACGCUCGAAUGUUAUAGCAUGGAACGAAUAUUUUGACCAGGUCGAUUGUUGGUUGUUGACAGGGUCUCGAUUAAAAGGAACAUUUGAGGGCGUUGGUACUUGGUGGCGAGAGGUGAAAUUCUUAGACCCACCAAAGACUCACAAAUGCGAAAGCAUUCGCCAAGAGUGUUUUCAUUAAUCAAGAACGAAAGUCAGAGGUUCGAAGACGAUCAGAUACCGUCGUAGUUCUGACAGUAAACGAUGCCAACCUGGGGUUAGUUUGUUUCUAAAUAAGUUGGUCCCUCGGUGAAAACUAGUUUUUCGGUUCCGGGGAGAGUAUUCACGCAAGUGAAAAAUUUAAAGAAAUUGACGGAAUGGCACCACCAGGAGUGGAGCCUGCGGCUUAAUUUGACUCAACACGGGGAAACUCACCAGGUCCAGACAUUGACAGGAUUGACAGACUGAGAGAUCUUUCAUGAUACGAUGAUUGGUGGUGCAUGGCCGUUCUUAGUUGGUGGAGUGAUCUGUCAGGUUUAUUCCGGUAACGAACGAGACCACGAUCUCUAAUUGAAACGGUCAUUUUGUUUUGGCCAAUCUUAGAGAGACAACCGGAUUCAAGCCGGGGGAAGCGUGGCAAUAACAGGUCUGUGAUGCCCUUCGAUGUUCUGGGCUGCACGCGCGCUACAAUGGCAGUGACAACGAGUGCCUGCUCUGAGAGGAGUGGGAAAUCUUGGAAAUCGCUGUCGUGAUUGGGAUUGAGCCUUGUAAUAAUUGCUCAUGAAAGAGGAAUUCCUCGUAAGCGCGAGUCAUCAGCUCGUG